GCUGCCCCCAGUGGCGUUGCAGAUGUGACUGCUGUGUCACAUGUGCGUCAGUAGGUGGCAGAGAGGAGAGAGACUAUGUCUAUGUUCCAUGCUCUGACCUAUGGACAUCUGAAUGAUUAGUAGUCUAUCAUU
ensembl:snoRNA LOC120097987 small nucleolar RNA SNORA17